UAUGGCCACAUCAGGUUAAAAUGCCGGUUCCCAUAUGAAAGUUAAGCAAUGUCAAGCCUGGUCAGUACCUUGAUGGGUGACCACUUGGGAAUACCAGGUGCUAUA